rnacentral:rRNA from 1 species
UACAGAGGGUGCGAGCGUUGUCCGGAAUCACUGGGCGUAAAGGGCGCGUAGGUGGCGGCAUAAGGCCGCGGUGAAAGUUCGGGGGCUCAACCCUGAAUCGGCCGCGGCGACUGUGUUGCUAGGGCACCGUAGAGGCAGAUGGAAUUCCGGGUGUAGCGGUGGGAAUGCGUAGAGAUGUGGAGGAACACCGAUGGCGAAGGCAGCCUCCUGGCCAGCACUGACGCUCAUGCACGAAAGCGUGGGGAGCAAACAGG